GGCCUGGUGGUGUAACUGGUAACACGUCUCCUUGUUUUCAUAAGUCUCCACAAAGGCUCAGGAGAACUACCCCGUUCGAUUCGGGGCUAGACCG